AGGGCAAGUCUGGUGCCAGCAGCCGCGGUAAUUCCAGCUCCAAUAGCGUAUAUUAAAGUUGUUGCAGUUAAAAAGCUCGUAGUUGAAUUUCGGGAUCAAUGUUUCGGUCAUGCCGUUGGUAUGUACUGAUAUUAUUGAUUUCUCACCUUCUAAAGAACCGUAAUGCCAUUAAUUUGGUGUCACGGGGAAUUAGGACUGUUACCUUGAAAAAAUUAGAGUGUUUAAAGCAGGCUCACGCUUGAAUACAUUAGCAUGGAAUAAUGAAAUAGGACAUCCGAUUCUAUUUUGUUGGUUUCUAGGAUCGAUGUAAUGAUUAAUAGGGAUAGUUGGGGGCAUUAGUAUUCAAUUGUCAGAGGUGAAAUUCUUGGAUUUGUUGAAGACUAACUACUGCGAAAGCAUUUGCCAAGGAUGUUUUCAUUAAUCAAGAACGAACGUUAGGGGAUCGAAGACGAUCAGAUACCGUCGUAGUCUUAACCAUAAACUAUGCCGACUAGGGAUCGGAUGAUGUUAAUUUUUUAAUGACUCAUUCGGCGCCUUACGGGAAA
rnacentral:rRNA from 1 species